rnacentral:rRNA from 1 species
UGGUUGCGUAUGUUUCAGGAUAGUUACAAGGACGCCAUCUGGUGGAUGGCUAGGCUGGGAGGGCGAU